CGGACGGGUGAGUAAUGUCUGGGAAACUGCCUGAUGGAGGGGGAUAACUACUGGAAACGGUAGCUAAUACCGCAUAACGUCGCAAGACCAAGAGGGGACCUUCGGGCCUCUUGCCAUCGGAUGUGCCCAGAUGGGAUUAGCUAGUAGGUGGGGUAAAGGCUCACCUAGGCGACGAUCCCUAGCUGGUCUGAGAGGAUGACCAGCCACACUGGAACUGAGACACGGUCCAG
rnacentral:rRNA from 1 species